UGCGUAGGCGGAAGAUUAAGUCAGUGAUGAAAUCCUGCGGCUCAACCGUAGAACUGUCAUUGAUACUGAUUUUCUUGAAUUCAGUUGAGGUAGGCGGAAUGUGUAAUGUAGCGGUGAAAUGCUUAGAUAUUACACAGAACACCAAUUGCGAAGGCAGCUUACUAAGCUGGGAUUGACGCUGAGGCACGAAAGCGUGGGGAGCGAACAGGAUUAGAUACCCUGGUAGUCC
rnacentral:rRNA from 1 species